rnacentral:lncRNA from 1 species
GUCCCUUGCCAGGGGUGGUGACAGCAGCCACUCUGCACCAACACACCCGGCAGCCCCUUGGUAGCGCUUGAAAAAGCCUCUGAGGCCCCCUGGAUCGCCUGGUCCGAGGCCUGGGUUGUGUUUGCAGAGCCUGGCGAUCCUGCAUCCUGUGGUCAAGCUUUAUCGAGGCAUCAUUGGCCCAGAUUGAAAGAAGUGCUUUAUUGUAGCCUGCAGCCCGGAGGCCUGGAGCAACAGGCAAUUCAAACCACAGAGCCCCAUGCCUUCUCCCGUACCUCCUUAC